rnacentral:rRNA from 1 species
UAAGGAAUAUUGGUCAAUGGACGCAAGUCUGAACCAGCCAUGCCGCGUGAAGGAUGAAGGUCCUCUGGAUUGUAAACUUCUUUUAUCUGGGACGAAAACGGGAUUUUUAUCUCAAUUGACGGUACCAGAGGAAUAAGCACCGGCUAACUCCGUGCCAGCAGCCGCGGUAAUACGGAGGGUGCGAGCGUUAUCCGGAUUUACUGGGUUUAAAGGGUGCGUAGGUGGGCUUAUAAGUCAGUGGUGAAAUCCCCGAGCUUAACUUGGAAACUGCCGUUGAUACUAUAGGGCUUUAAUUAUCUGGAGGUAAGCGGAAUAUGUCAUGUAGCGGUGAAAUGCUUAGAUAUGACAUAGAACACCAAUUGCGAAGGCAGCUUACUACAUAUAAAUUGACGCUGAGGCACGAAAGCGUGGGGAUCAAACA